rnacentral:rRNA from 1 species
GAUCCUUGGCAAGUCGGAGCGGACAGAUGGGAGCUUGCUCCCUGAAGUCAGCGGCGGACGGGUGAGUAACACGUGGGCAACCUGCCUGUAAGACUGGGAUAACUCCGGGAAACCGGGGCUAAUACCGGAUAAUUCUUUCCCUCACAUGAGGGAAAGCUGAAAGAUGGUUUCGGCUAUCACUUACAGAUGGGCCCGCGGCGCAUUAUCUAGUUGGUGAGGUAACGGCUCACCAAGGCAACGAUGCGUACCCGACCUGAGAGGGUGAUCGGCCACACUGGGACUGAGACACGGCCCAGACUCCUACGGGAGGCAGCAAUAGGGAAUCUUCCGCAAUGGACGAAAGUCUGACGGAGCAACGCCGCGUGAGUGAUGAAGGUUUUCGGAUCGUAAAACUCUGUUGUUAAGGAAGAACAAGUACCGGAGUAACUGCCGGUACCUUGACGGUACCUAACCAAAAAGCCACGGAUAACUACGUGCCAGCAGCCGCGGUAAUACGUAGGUGGCAAGUGUUGUCCGGAAUUAUUGGGCGUAAAGCGCGCGCAGGCGGUUCCUUAAGUCUGAUGUGAAAGCCCCCGGUUCAACCGGGGAGGGUCAUUGGAAACUGGGGAACUUGAGUGCAGAAGAGAAAAGUGGAAUUCCACGUGUAGCGGUGAAAUGCGUAUAGAUGUGGAGGAACACCAGUGGCGAAGGCCACUCUUUGGUCUGUAACUGACGCUGAGGCGCGAAAGCGUGGGGAGCGAACAGGAUUACAUACCCUGGUAGUCCACGCCGAAAACGAUGAGUGCUAAGUGAUAGAGGGCCUCCGCCCUUUAAUUGCUGCAGCAAACGCAUUAAGCACUCCGCCCUGGGGAGUACGGCCGCAAGGGCUGAAACUCAAAGGAAAUUGACGGGGGCCCCGCACAAGCGGUGGAACCAUGUGGGUUUAAUUCCAAAACAACCCCGAAGAAACCCUUACCCAGGUCUUGGUUAUCCUCCUGAACAACCCCUAAUAAAUAGGGGCCGUUCCCCCUUCCGGGGGAA